rnacentral:rRNA from 1 species
GGUUUAAUUCGAUGCAACGCGAAAAACCUUACCUACCUUUGACAUGUACGGAAUUCGCCAGAGAUGGC